GACGAACGCUGGCGGCGUGCCUAAUACAUGCAAGUAGAACGCUGAAGGAGGAGCUUGCUUCUCCGGAUGAGUUGCGAACGGGUGAGUAACGCGUAGGUAACCUGCCUGGUAGCGGGGGAUAACUAUUGGAAACGAUAGCUAAUACCGCAUAAGAGUAGAUGUCGCAUGACAUUUGCUUAAAAGGUGCAACUGCACCACUACCAGAUGGACCUGCGUUGUAUUAGCUAGUUGGUGAGGUAACGGCUCACCAAGGCAACGAGUCAUAGCCGACCUGAGAGGGGGAGCGGCCACACUGGGACGGAGACACGGCCCUAACUCCCACGGGGGGCAGCAGUAGGGGAUCUUCGGCAAUGGACGCAAGUCUGACCGAGCAACGCCGCGUGAGUGAAGAAGGUGUUCGGAUCGUAAAGCUCUGUUGUAAGGGAAGAACGAGUGUGAGAGUGGAAAGUUCACACUGUGCCGGUAUCUUACCAGAAAGGGACGGCUAACUACGUG
rnacentral:rRNA from 1 species